rnacentral:rRNA from 1 species
AGAGUUUGAUCCUGGCUCAGAUUGAACGCUGGCGGCAUGCCUUACACAUGCAAGUCGAACGGCAGCACGAGAGCUUGCUCUUGGUGGCGAGUGGCGAACGGGUGAGUAAUAUAUCGGAACGUACCCUAGAGUGGGGGAUAACGUAGCGAAAGUUACGCUAAUACCGCAUACGAUCUACGGAUGAAAGUGGGGGAUCGCAAGACCUCAUGCUCAUGGAGCGGCCGAUAUCUGAUUAGCUAGUUGGUGGGGUAAAAGCUCACCAAGGCGACGAUCAGUAGCUGGUCUGAGAGGACGACCAGCCACACUGGAACUGAGACACGGUCCAGACUCCUACGGGAGGCAGCAGUGGGGAAUUUUGGACAAUGGGCGCAAGCCUGAUCCAGCAAUGCCGCGUGAGUGAAGAAGGCCUUCGGGUUGUAAAGCUCUUUUGUCAGGGAAGAAACGGUGGACUCUAAUACAGAUCACUAAUGACGGUACCUGAAGAAUAAGCACCGGCUAACUACGUGCCAGCAGCCGCGGUAAUACGUAGGGUGCAAGCGUUAAUCGGAAUUACUGGGCGUAAAGCGUGCGCAGGCGGUUGUGCAAGACAGAUGUGAAAUCCCCGGGCUCAACCUGGGAAUUGCAUUUGUGACUGCACGGCUAGAGUGUGUCAGAGGGGGGUAGAAUUCCACGUGUAGCAGUGAAAUGCGUAGAGAUGUGGAGGAAUACCGAUGGCGAAGGCAGCCCCCUGGGAUAACACUGACGCUCAUGCACGAAAGCGUGGGGAGCAAACAGGAUUAGAUACCCUGGUAGUCCACGCCCUAAACGAUGUCUACUAGUUGUCGGGUCUUAAUUGACUUGGUAACGCAGCUAACGCGUGAAGUAGACCGCCUGGGGAGUACGGUCGCAAGAUUAAAACUCAAAGGAAUUGACGGGGACCCGCACAAGCGGUGGAUGAUGUGGAUUAAUUCGAUGCAACGCGAAAAACCUUACCUACCCUUGACAUGUCUGGAAUCCUUGAGAGAUCAGGGAGUGCUCGAAAGAGAAUCAGAACACAGGUGCUGCAUGGCUGUCGUCAGCUCGUGUCGUGAGAUGUUGGGUUAAGUCCCGCAACGAGCGCAACCCUUGUCAUUAGUUGCUACGAAAGGGCACUCUAAUGAGACUGCCGGUUACAAACCGGAGGAAGGUGGGGAUGACGUCAAGUCCUCAUGGCCCUUAUGGGUAGGGCUUCACACGUCAUACAAUGGUACAUACAGAGGGCCGCCAACCCGCGAGGGGGAGCUAAUCCCAGAAAGUGUAUCGUAGUCCGGAUUGUAGUCUGCAACUCGACUACAUGAAGUUGGAAUCGCUAGUAAUCGCGGAUCAGCAUGUCGCGGUGAAUACGUUCCCGGGUCUUGUACACACCGCCCGUCACACCAUGGGAGCGGGUUUCACCAGAAGUGGGUAGCCUAACCGCAAGGAGGGCGCUCACCACGGUGGGAUUCGUGACUGGGGUGAAGUCGUAACAAGGUA